GAUGAACGCUGGCGGCGUGCCUAAUACAUGCAAGUCGAGCGAACAGACGAGGAGCUUGCUCCUCUGACGUUAGCGGCGGACGGGUGAGUAACACGUGGAUAACCUACCUAUAAGACUGGGAUAACUUCGGGAAACCGGAGCUAAUACCGGAUAAUAUAUUGAACCGCAUGGUUCAAUAGUGAAAGACGGUUUUGCUGUCACUUAUAGAUGGAUCCGCGCCGCAUUAGCUAGUUGGUAAGGUAACGGCUUACCAAGGCAACGAUGCGUAUCCGACCUGAGAGGGUGAUCGGCCACACUGGAACUGAGACACGGUCCAGACUCCUAAGGGAGGCAGCAGUAGGGAAUCUUCCGCAAUGGGCGAAAGCCUGACGGAGCAACGCCGCGUGAGUGAUGAAGGUCUUCGGAUCGUAAAACUCUGUUAUUAGGGAAGAACAAAUGUGUAAGUAACUAUGCACGUCUUGACGGUACCUAAUCAGAAAGCCACGGCUAACUACGUG
rnacentral:rRNA from 1 species